GAUUGAGAUAAUUAGAAAAGGCAGCGUGAACGCAAUAACCGAUCUGUGUGACGUAAUAAAGGGAUUAUUAUUGAAAUCGAUACAGCCAGAUGUCACCAUUUAUAACACCGUUGGCUCACCUCGUCAUAAAAUGCACCACAAACCAGUUCCUAUCGACCGUUAUUGUGUCAUUGAACGUCCAAAUGCAGUGACUGUAACCUGGAAUUUAAAAUACGGGUCCAUGACAAGGACCUCACCAACUUAGAAUAGAAUCAGUUAUAACGCUCCUAUAGAACACCACUGCCAUUAACCUGUCAACAGCCAUCGCAGUGAGGAAGAAGACACUUG